UACGGGGGGGGCAAGCGUUGUUCGGAAUUACUGGGCGUAAAGGGCUCGUAGGCGGCCAACUAAGUCGGAUGUGAAAUCCCCAAGCUUAACUUGGGAACUGCAUCCGAUACUGGAUGGCUUGAAUCCGGGAGAGGGAUGCAGAAUUCCAGGUGUAGCGGUGAAAUGCGUAGAUAUCGACAGGAACGCCGGUGGCGAAAGCGGACCGCUGGCCCUCUUCUGACGCUGAGGCGCGAAAGCCAGGGGAGCGAACGGG
rnacentral:rRNA from 1 species